UACAUACAUACAUACAUACAUACAUAUAUAUAUAUAUAUAUUGUUAACUUGGGAGAGGGUGGUGUUUGUUUCUCAAAUGAUGAUUCCACCUGUCAUCAUCAAGAUCAUUUCUCUUUGCUAUUCUCCACUAUAUUCCCAAAUUGUGCACAUAGAUUCUAUUCAUUUCAGCAUGGAUAUUUUAUAUCAAAUUCAUCCAAAAAGCAGUAUUAUUAUUAUUGUUGUUGUUGUUGUUGUUUUUUUUUUUUUUUCUCAGGAACAUGGCAGCAAACUUGUUGAGAGAUGAGAUUUAGUGAUUUUAUUAAUGCUCCUAUUUCUUGCAGGUUGAUGGUUGUGUAUCAUAUAAUGAUGAAGUAUUUAAAAUGGAACUAACCCCACCACAAAGAAAGAUCAAGAUGAAGAACAAUCGUUGGAUAGUGUGCAGCAGUUCUCAAAUCCUCGCAAGAGGUGGUCCAGUCUUUUUUUUUUUUUCAGUUUACAAUCUUGAGGUUUAUCAUAACCACGAGGGUUUAAAUUGAAAUUUAGCCAUUUGUAUAAUGUGCAAAGACAUGAUGGAGUGUAUUGUAGAUCAAUUCGAGCUCUUCUAUUGCUUAAUAUUGCCUUGGUGCAUCUACCCAUCGGGGGAAAAAAAUUUGUUGAGUCUUGUUUUAAGCUAAAUUCAUUGUUAAAGUGAAGUGUCUUAUUGACUAAAGUCAUUAAAAAUUCAAUUCAAUUAUUGGUGCAAU